rnacentral:misc_RNA from 1 species
AUGCCAAAAACAAAUUGUGUUCAAAUGUGAUUCCAAUUAAAAACGGGAAAAACAACAGCGAAAGGAAGGCUUCGAAAGUGGUUUACGUAAAUGGAAAAAAUGAAAAGAGGACUGCUUUACGCCCUUUUAAUUCUAUCAAAGUCGGAGCUUGUGCCUUUCUCAACGUACCAAUUGUGAGGUUUUCAACUGCAUCGGCAUUGAGUCAGGAGGAUAAAAGUGAACAGAAGACUUCGUCACCUCCGAAGUCUGAGGAUGCUGGAGCACAGGGGAAGAUCAUUGCUGUGAUCGGUGCUGUAGUGGAUGUGAAGUUCGAUCAGCAUCUACCGCCGAUUCUAAAUGCCCUCGAAGUUCCUGGACGUAGUGAGUGUAUUUUAUUUGGCAGUGAAAGUAUAAUUGGUGAAAAUUAAACGUGGAUAUAUGAAAUUAAUAGGCUAAGAAUAAAAAUUCGGAGUACGAUAGAAGCAGUACUUUAAGUUCAGUAGUUAGCCUAUCUUGGGUCUAAGCUAUUGCUUCAAUGGGACUGAUUUUUUAAAUGUAGCUUAUAAAUGAUAUGUCCUAUAAAGGGUUUAAUUUAUACCCGUUACUUGAAUACACUCUGUAAAUGUUA